rnacentral:rRNA from 1 species
UACAGAGGGGGCAAGCGUUGUCCGGAAUUACUGGGCGUACAGCGCGCGCAGGCGGUUGCCGACGUGCCGUGUGACAAACGGGGGCUCAACCCCCGAGGGCCACGGUAAACGGGGCGACUGGAGGACGGGAGAGGGAUGUGGAAUGCCCGGUGGAGCGGUGAAAUGCGUAGAGAUCGGGCGGAACACCAGCGGCGAAGGCGGCAUCCUGGCCCGAUACUGACGCUGAGGCACGAAAGCGUGGGGAGCAAACAGG